UCUGGACUUCCUGGCCGGGUCUCACAAGUCCUGUUUGCUUUGACCGCCUCUGGAGUGUUUGCCCAGUGAGGUCAGGGAAGGGAAGGAGAACACCGCCCGCCUGUUGUCGGAGCCGCAGGAAGCCAGCUGCGAGCUCCGCUUGCCAGGGCUUCACAGGGCUUGGCAGCUCAAUUUCCUCUCAGCCUACCAGAUGAGACAGAAGAGUCCACCGGUCACUUAUCUAAGCAAAGCACAUUGGGAGCCAUUAGAACUUGCGCCACCCGGCAGACUGUCCUGAACCAGAGAGGAGAAAUCAAGGCCGCCUCACCAUAUGAGACUCAGGCUGUGGGUUUCUUAGGUUUGUGUCUGAAUCACCUCUGUGUUCUCUACAUGCAUCUGAGGGUGUGGCACAGUGGCGGUCUCUGGGAUGGAUGGAUGGA
ensembl:lncRNA